UCAUUAACUGAAUCCAUAGGUUAAUGAGGCGAACCGGGGGAACUGAAACAUCUAAGUACCCCGAGGAAAAGAAAUCAACCGAGAUUCCCCCAGUAGCGGCGAGCGAACGGGGAGGAGCCCAGAGCCUGAAUCAGCAUGUGUGUUAGUGGAAGCGUCUGGAAAGGCGCGCGAUACAGGGUGACAGCCCCGUACACAAAAGCGCAUGUGCUGUGAGCUCGAUGAGUAGGGCGGGACACGUGGUAUCCUGUCUGAAUAUGGGGGGACCAUCCUCCAAGGCUAAAUACUCCUGACUGACCGAUAGUGAACCAGUACCGUGAGGGAAAGGCGAAAAGAACCCCGGCGAGGGGAGUGAAAAAGAACCUGAAACCGUGUACGUACAAGCAGUGGGAGCACCCUUUGGGUGUGACUGCGUACCUUUUGUAUAAUGGGUCAGCGACUUAUAUUCUGUAGCAAGGUUAACCGAAUAGGGGAGCCGGAGGGAAACCGAGUCUUAAUUGGGCGUUAAGUUGCAGGGUAUAGACCCGAAACCCGGUGAUCUAGCCAUGGGCAGGUUGAAGGUUGGGUAACACUAACUGGAGGACCGAACCGACUAAUGUUGAAAAAUUAGCGGAUGACCUGUGGCUGGGGGUGAAAGGCCAAUCAAACCGGGAGAUAGCUGGUUCUCCCCGAAAGCUAUUUAGGUAGCGCCUCGUGAAUUCAUCUCCGGGGGUAGAGCACUGUUUCGGCUAGGGGGCCAUCCCGGCUUACCAACCCGAUGCAAACUGCGAAUACCGGAGAAUGUUAUCACGGGAGACACACGGCGGGUGCUAACGUCCGUCGUGAAGAGGGAAACAACCCAGACCGCCAGCUAAGGUCCCAAAGUCAUGGUUAAGUGGGAAACGAUGUGGGAAGGCCCAGACAGCCAGGAUGUUGGCUUAGAAGCAGCCAUCAUUUAAAGAAAGCGUAAUAGCUCACUGGUCGAGUCGGCCUGCGCGGAAGAUGUAACGGGGCUAAACCAUGCACCGAAGCUGCGGCAGCGACACUGUGUGUUGUUGGGUAGGGGAGCGUUCUGUAAGCCUGUGAAGGUGUGUCGUGAGGCAUGCUGGAGGUAUCAGAAGUGCGAAUGCUGACAUAAGUAACGAUAAAGCGGGUGAAAAGCCCGCUCGCCGGAAGACCAAGGGUUCCUGUCCAACGUUAAUCGGGGCAGGGUGAGUCGACCCCUAAGGCGAGGCCGAAAGGCGUAGUCGAUGGGAAACGGGUUAAUAUUCCCGUACUUGGUGUUACUGCGAAGGGGGGACGGAGAAGGCUAUGUUGGCCGGGCGACGGUUGUCCCGGUUUAAGCGUGUAGGUGUGUGUUCCAGGUAAAUCCGGUUCACUUUAACACUGAGGCGUGACGACGAGGCACUACGGUGCUGAAGCAACAAAUGCCCUGCUUCCAGGAAAAGCCUCUAAGCAUCAGGUAACAUCAAAUCGUACCCCAAACCGACACAGGUGGUCAGGUAGAGAAUACCAAGGCGCUUGAGAGAACUCGGGUGAAGGAACUAGGCAAAAUGGUGCCGUAACUUCGGGAGAAGGCACGCUGACACGUAGGUGAAGUGAUUUACUCAUGGAGCUGAAGUCAGUCGAAGAUACCAGCUGGCUGCAACUGUUUAUUAAAAACACAGCACUGUGCAAACACGAAAGUGGACGUAUACGGUGUGACGCCUGCCCGGUGCCGGAAGGUUAAUUGAUGGGGUCAGCGCAAGCGAAGCUCCUGAUCGAAGCCCCGGUAAACGGCGGCCGUAACUAUAACGGUCCUAAGGUAGCGAAAUUCCUUGUCGGGUAAGUUCCGACCUGCACGAAUGGCGUAAUGAUGGCCAGGCUGUCUCCACCCGAGACUCAGUGAAAUUGAACUCGCUGUGAAGAUGCAGUGUACCCGCGGCAAGACGGAAAGACCCCGUGAACCUUUACUAUAGCUUGACACUGAACAUUGAGCCUUGAUGUGUAGGAUAGGUGGGAGGCUUUGAAGUGUGGACGCCAGUCUGCAUGGAGCCGACCUUGAAAUACCACCCUUUAAUGUUUGAUGUUCUAACGUGGACCCGUUACCCGGGUUGCGGACAGUGUCUGGUGGGUAGUUUGACUGGGGCGGUCUCCUCCUAAAGAGUAACGGAGGAGCACGAAGGUUGGCUAAUCCUGGUCGGACAUCAGGAGGUUAGUGCAAUGGCAUAAGCCAGCUUGACUGCGAGCGUGACGGCGCGAGCAGGUGCGAAAGCAGGUCAUAGUGAUCCGGUGGUUCUGAAUGGAAGGGCCAUCGCUCAACGGAUAAAAGGUACUCCGGGGAUAACAGGCUGAUACCGCCCAAGAGUUCAUAUCGACGGCGGUGUUUGGCACCUCGAUGUCGGCUCAUCACAUCCUGGGGCUGAAGUAGGUCCCAAGGGUAUGGCUGUUCGCCAUUUAAAGUGGUACGCGAGCUGGGUUUAGAACGUCGUGAGACAGUUCGGUCCCUAUCUGCCGUGGGCGCUGGAGAACUGAGGGGGGCUGCUCCUAGUACGAGAGGACCGGAGUGGACGCAUCACUGGUGUUCGGGUUGUCAUGCCAAUGGCACUGCCCGGUAGCUAAAUGCGGAAGAGAUAAGUGCUGAAAGCAUCUAAGCACGAAACUUGCCCCGA
rnacentral:rRNA from 1 species